GCGAUAGCCUCAGUAACGGCGAGUGAAGCGGCUACAGCUCAAAUUUGAAAUCUGGCCUCCUUUGGGGGUCCGAGUUGUAAUUUGCAGAGGAUGCUUUGGCAUUGGCGGCGGUCUAAGUUCCUUGGAACAGGACAUCGCAGAGGGUGAGAAUCCCGUACGUGGGCGCCUGCCUUUGCCGUGUAAAGCUCCUUCGACGAGUCGAGUUGUUUGGGAAUGCAGCUCUAAAUGGGAGGUAAAUUUCUCCUAAAGCUAAAUACCGGCCAGAGACCGAUAGCGCACAAGUAGAGUGAUCGAAAGAUGAAAAGUACUUUGGAAAGAGAGUCAAAUAGCACGUGAAAUUGUUGAAAGGGAAGCGCUUGCAGCCAGACUUGCCCGCAGUUGCUCACCUAGGCUUUCGCCUGGGGCACUCUUCUGCGGGCAGGCCAGCAUCAGUUUGGGCGGUCGGAUAAAGGCCUCUGUCAUGUACCACCCCUCGGGGUGGCCUUAUAGGGGAGGUGUAAUGCGACCAGCCCGGACUGAGGUCCGCGCAUCUGCUAGGAUGCUGGCGUAAUGGCUGUAAGCGGCCCGUCUUGAAACACGGACCAAGGAGUCUAACAUCUAUGCGAGUGUUUGGGUGUCAAGCCCGGGCGCGCAAUGAAAGUGAACGGAGGUGGGAACCCUUCGGGGUGCACCAUCGACCGAUCCUGAAGUCUUCGGAUGGAUUUGAGUAAGAGCAUAGCUGUUGGGACCCGAAAGAUGGUGAACUAUGCUUGAAUAAGGUGAAGCCAGAGGAAACUCUGGUGGAGGCUCGCAGCGGUUCUGACGUGCAAAUCGAUCGUCAAAUUUGGGCAUAGGGGCGAAAGACUAAUCGAACCAUCUAGUAGCUGG
rnacentral:rRNA from 1 species